rnacentral:rRNA from 1 species
GAUGAACGCUGGCGGCGUGCCUAAUACAUGCAAGUCGAGCGGACCAAAGAGAGCUUGCUCUCUGAGGUUAGCGGCGGACGGGUGAGUAACACGUGGGUAACCUGCCUGUAAGACGGGGAUAACUUCGGGAAACCGAAGCUAAUACCGGAUGAUAAAGAAAAACGCCUGUUUCUUUUUUGAAAGUCGGCCUUGUGCUGACGCUUACAGAUGGGCCCGCGGCGCAUUAGCUAGUUGGUGAGGUAACGGCUCACCAAGGCGACGAUGCGUAGCCGACAUGAGAGGGUGAUCGGCCACACUGGGACUGAGACACGGCCCAGACUCCUACGGGAGGCAGCAGUAGGGAAUCUUCGGCAAUGGACGAAAGUCUGACCGAGCAACGCCGCGUGAGCGAUGAAGGCCUUCGGGUCGUAAAGCUCUGUUGUCAGAGAAGAACAAGUACCGGAGUAACUGCCGGUACCUUGACGGUACCUGACCAGAAAGCCACGGCUAACUACGUGCCAGCCGCCGCAGUAA